GGUUUGUGGCUCAGAGGUAGAGCGCUCGCCUCUAGCACGUGAGAGACCCUGGGUUCCAUCCUCAGCACCA
rnacentral:tRNA from 1 species